CUCCAGCAGACCCUCCCUCCCAGACCCUCCUACUUCCUGAAACAUGGAUGCUGUCCAGGAAGUAGGAGGGUCUGGGAGGGAGGGUCUGCUGGAG